rnacentral:rRNA from 1 species
GACGAACGCUGGCGGCGUGCUUAACACAUGCAAGUCGAACGGAAAGGCCCUGCUUUUGUGGGGUGCUCGAGUGGCGAAGGGGUGCGUAACACGUGAGUAACCUGCCCUUGACUUUGGGAUAACUUCAGGAAACUGGGGCUAAUACCGGAUAGGAGCUCCUGCUGCAUGGUGGGGGUUGGAAAGUUUCGGCGGUUGGGGAUGGACUCGCGGCUUAUCAGCUUGUUGGUGGGGUAGUGGCUUACCAAGGCUUUGACGGGUAGCCGGCCUGAGAGGGUGACCGGCCACAUUGGGACUGAGGUACGGCCCAGACUCCUACGGGAGGCAGCAGUGGGGAAUAUUGCACAAUGGGCGGAAGCCUGAUGCAGCAACGCCGCGUGCGGGAUGACGGCCUUCGGGUUGUAAACCGCUUUCGCCUGUGACGAAGCGUGAGUGACGGUAAUGGGUAAAGAAGCACCGGCUAACUACGUG